GAUGAACGCUGGCGGCGUGCCUAAUACAUGCAAGUCGAGCGAACGGACGAGAAGCUUGCUUCUCUGAUGUUAGCGGCGGACGGGUGAGUAACACGUGGAUAUCCUACCUAUAAGACUGGGAUAACUUCGGGAAACCGGAGCUAAUACCGGAUAAUAUUUUGAACCGCAUGGUUCAAAAGUGAAAGACGGUCUUGCUGUCACUUAUAGAUGGAUCCGCGCUGCAUUAGCUAGUUGGUAAGGUAACGGCUUACCAAGGCAACGAUGCAUAGCCGACCUGAGAGGGUGAUCGGCCACACUGGAACUGAGACACGGUCCAGACUCCUACGGGAGGCAGCAGUAGGGAAUCUUCCGCAAUGGGCGAAAGCCUGACGGAGCAACGCCGCGUGAGUGAUGAAGGUCUUCGGAUCGUAAAACUCUGUUAUUAGGGAAGAACAUACGUGUAAGUAACUGUGCACAUCUUGACGGUACCUAAUCAGAAAGCCACGGCUAACUACGUG
rnacentral:rRNA from 1 species